GCUUUGGUCUUCUCUCCAGACCCACUGCUGCUCUCAAAACAAGUGUAACUUCUAUGACAACAAAGACCCGGAAUGCGUGACAAAUCUUCAGGAAGUGGCCCGCAUCGUGGGCAACUCUGGCCUCAACAUCUACAAUCUCUAUGCCCCGUGUGCUGGAGGGGUGCCCAGCCAUUUUAGGUAGGUGCUGCUGGGUGCCCCUGGGGCCAACCCCAGCCCCAUCUGGAGGCUCCACACCCAUCCCCCCACCUCACAUGCAGGUAUGAGAAGGACACUGUUGUGGUCCAGGAUUUGGGCAACAUCUUCACUCGCCUGCCACUCAAGCGGACGUGGCAUCAGGCACUGCUGCGCUCAGGGGAUAAAGUACGCAUGGACCCCCCCUGCACCAACACAACAGCUGCUUCCACCUACCUCAACAACCCGUACGUGCGGAAGGCCCUCAACAUCCCAGAGCAGCUGCCGCAAUGGGACAUGUGCAAGUGAGGUUCUGUGGCCACCUGUGACUUGGGGUGGCGGGUUGCUGGGGCUUGUGGGCAUCAGCAGGUUCUCAGGGAUCUUCUGUGUAGAGUUUCUCAAUGAGAUGAGCUGUAGAGGA
rnacentral:sRNA from 1 species